GCUUUUAAUAGCUCAAUGGUUAGAGUGUCUGUCCGGUUAUCAGAAGGUUGCGUGGCUCAAUUCCUGUUAGGGCU